GAUCCCAUAACUUCACCAGGGAGGAAAACUCCCAGCUCCUGGGCCUGGAGACCAGCCAGCCCAUCAGCUCUUCAUCAAAGCAAUUAUCUCUUUUCACUCAAAGAGGAGAUGAGAGGGAAUGGGACCACUUGUAAGCCAGACAACCUCAUGAGUGUGGCACAUGGUAAAACACAAACCUGCUGACAGAGGCUGAGAGAACCAGGAGCCCUGUGCUAUGGGGUGCUGAGUGCCCCCCUCUGUCCCCAAAACGCUUAACACUUCUCGCGUAGUCACUGGCAAAACCCAUCUGGCAAGCAUCUGCCUGCUGGCUAGAGAAGUGCUUCAGCUGGUUUCAUUAAAUUCUAGCCUUAAACAAUGUGAGCUCCAAAGCAAAAUGUUGCUGUUAGCCUUGGAAACUGCAUCUGUCCUGAAACUGCCAGAGGUCUCACUUUUUGUAGUGAGCAAUCUUAUUUUCUUAAUAAAUGAGGACUGUCAUUUCCCCCCGCCUUUUUUAGCUCCCAGAGCUGGCUGUGCACAUUCUUGACUACGCGAAGAGUCUGAGGUUCUCUGCCAAUCCCAGGAAAGCAGGAGAACAUGGAUGUCUUCUUCAGAAGAGUUGUGGGCAAAAUGGAGACUUCCACCUCUGGGCAGGGGUGAAUGGCUGAAUAUCACCCAGCUUCACAAGGAUGCAGCAUGCCCAUGGUACAUGGCCUACUCCCCUGCUUGGCACAGGAGGCACCAGGAGCGCAGCCCAGCAGGACCGUACCACCAGGCUGCUCUCUGUCCUCUGCAGCCAUACCACCAUGAGGGCCAAGGACACACAUACAGGGUUUCACUUUAUGGAUAUCUGGCCUAGAGGCAGAGUGUGCUGCCUGGUGAGCCGCUCCAACCACCUGAAAGAGAUUAUUUCUUUUUUUAAAAG
rnacentral:lncRNA from 1 species